UGAGGAAUAUUGGACAAUGGGCGCAAGCCUGAUCCAGCCAUGCCGCGUGCAGGAUGACGGUCCUAUGGAUUGUAAACUGCUUUUGUACAGGAAGAAACAGUUCUACGUGUAGAACCUUGACGGUACUGUAAGAAUAAGGAUCGGCUAACUCCGUGCCAGCAGCCGCGGUAAUACGGAGGAUCCAAGCGUUAUCCGGAAUCAUUGGGUUUAAAGGGUCCGUAGGCGGUUAGAUAAGUCAGUGGUGAAAGCCCAUCGCUCAACGGUGGAACGGCCAUUGAUACUGUCUGACUUGAAUUAUUAGGAAGUAACUAGAAUAUGUAGUGUAGCGGUGAAAUGCUUAGAGAUUACAUGGAAUACCAAUUGCGAAGGCAGGUUACUACUAAUGGAUUGACGCUGAUGGACGAAAGCGUGGGUAGCGAACAGGAUUAGAUACCCCUGUAGUCCCUGAGCGGGCUGGCAAGGCG
rnacentral:rRNA from 1 species